GCCAGCAUAGCUCAGGAGGUAGAGCAGCAGUUUCGUAAACUGCAGGUCAAGGGUUCGAGUCCCUUUGCUGGCUCCA
rnacentral:tRNA from 1 species